CCUUAGGAAAGACAGCAUGGAGUUGGAAGAGAAGCAGGGAUCUCCACGAAGGGCAGUCAGUUAUACUCUUGUACCAAAUACUAUAUUCCUCAAAACUUCUUAAUGGCACUGAGGCUUUGUGGAUAGUUGGUCACAUGAGAAAAUUAAGCUGGAGUGGGCAUUUGCUGCACAGCUACACAUUGUGUGGACUUGAGAAUACCUCAAGAGCUGAAAUGCUGAACUACAGCAACAGAGUAAGUUUCCUUCUGUGCACUGAGAAGAAAAGCAAAGGAAUGUGCCUGAACGUUAAGCAUGUUAGUUGUAAGUUUGUGAGAUCUUUUUUUCUGUUGCUGUUUGCACUUGGCUUGUAUCAUGACUGUCCUGUCUUCAAACUGGAUGUAGCAUGUCUUUGUGUCGAAUGAGGCACUCCUCAUAAUCUAACGUCAUGAACAUUGUUUUUCUUCAACCCUUAAAAGUCAAAACAUGGCAGCAUAGAUAGCUGUAAUAAGUUAAUAAUAAAUGUGACAUGAAAGAAUUUUCUCA
rnacentral:lncRNA from 1 species